AUAGUAAUCAUUUGUUUAAGUUUAUAUGUUCAUGUUAUGAUAUGGCUCUUUGACAUUAAUAUUGUUUUAAAAACUGACGAUUGUGUGGCAAACUUGUAAUCAUUGUUUGGCCUUCAUUUCGAUUUCACGGAUAAACCGAACCUUUAAUACAUUUUUCACAGUACCUACUUAUUUUAAGACGAUAUAAAAAGCUGGCAUCAUUUUUGAAACAUUCAGCUUCUUAACAGUUCAUCAUGAGAAGCUUAAGCUUUGUUUUUAUUCUGGCUGUCUUCGCAUUGGGAACCAACGGAAAAUGCACCUAUAUGAAGCAGUCGGAUUUAAAGCCUACUUGUGGAAUAGGCGCAGAUUGCUACUUGAAUGGCCCUAAUAAAGGUUAUCUCGAACUUCAGUCCUGCAGACGUAAAGAAAAAGGACUACGAACCUACUUGGAAAUAAAGCGCGGAAGAUGUCCAACAGAUAAACCCCCGUGUAAAUAUAUAAGGAACUAAUUUUAAGCAGACAGUACAUUGUAACAUCCAAUAUAAAAGCUUGAAGCGAAA